UAGUCCUAACUUUUUUUUAGAGCCUGUCAAUAUACUACAUAUUAAAUGAAUGACUGCUACAAUAUUCUAGAUCUUCCACAAACUACAGUUAAGAAUAUAGAGGUGGGAAAAUUUCCAAUGAUGAAGUAUUCUUCUUUCUUUUCCAUAUAUUCUUCUUAAUAAAUAUUACUGCUGAGGCAAUUAAGUCAUUACUUAUUGCUUGUUUUGUACUAUAACAGGUGCCACAGGAAUUUUAUAAAGUACAGGUAAUUAAUUUUUUUCUAAAUAACGGCUUUGUUGAUAUCACAUAUAUACCCUACAACUCAGCCAUUUAAAAUGUAGAGUUCUGGCCGGACGUGGUGCCUCACACCUAUAAUCCCAGCACUUUGGGAGGCCAAAGGGGCAGAUCACUUGAGGUCGAGUUUGACACCAGCCUGGCCAACAUAGUGAAAUCCUGUCUCUACUAAAAAU
rnacentral:lncRNA from 1 species